GAUGAACGCUGGCGGCGUGCCUAAUACAUGCAAGUCGAGCGAACAGACGAGGAGCUUGCUCCUCUGACGUUAGCGGCGGACGGGUGAGUAACACGUGGAUAACCUACCUAUAAGACUGGGAUAACUUCGGGAAACCGGAGCUAAUACCGGAUAAUAUAUUGAACCGCAUGGUUCAAUAGUGAAAGACGGUUUUGCUGUCACUUAUAGAUGGAUCCGCGCCGCAUUAGCUAGUUGGUAAGGUAACGGCUUACCAAGGCAACGAUGCGUAGCCGACCUGAGAGGGUGAUCGGCCACACUGGAACUGAGACACGGUCCAGACUCUUACGGGAGGCAGCAGUAGGGAAUCUUCCGCAAUGGGCGAAAGCCUGACGGAGCAACGCCGCGUGAGUGAUGAAGGUCUUCGGAUCGUAAAACUCUGUUAUUAGGGAAGAGCAAAUGUGUAAGUAACUAUGCACGUCUUGACGGUACCUAAUCAGAAAGCCACGGCUAACUACGUG
rnacentral:rRNA from 1 species